rnacentral:rRNA from 1 species
AUGAACGCUAGCUACAGGCUUAACACAUGCAAGUCGAGGGGCAGCAUGAACUUAGCUUGCUAAGUUUGAUGGCGACCGGCGCACGGGUGAGUAACACGUAUCCAACCUGCCGAUGACUCGGGGAUAGCCUUUCGAAAGAAAGAUUAAUACCCGAUGGCAUAGUUCUUCCGCAUGGUAGAACUAUUAAAGAAUUUCGGUCAUCGAUGGGGAUGCGUUCCAUUAGGUUGUUGGCGGGGUAACGGCCCACCAAGCCUUCGAUGGAUAGGGGUUCUGAGAGGAAGGUCCCCCACAUUGGAACUGAGACACGGUCCAAACUCCUACGGGAGGCAGCAGUGAGGAAUAUUGGUCAAUGGACGAGAGUCUGAACCAGCCAAGUAGCGUGAAGGAUGACUGCCCUAUGGGUUGUAAACUUCUUUUAUACGGGAAUAAAGUGAGGCACGUGUGCCUUUUUGUAUGUACCGUAUGAAUAAGGAUCGGCUAACUCCGUGCCAGCAGCCGCGGUAAUACGGAGGAUCCGAGCGUUAUCCGGAUUUAUUGGGUUUAAAGGGAGCGUAGGCGGACGCUUAAGUCAGUUGUGAAAGUUUGCGGCUCAACCGUAAAAUUGCAGUUGAUACUGGGUGUCUUGAGUACAGUAGAGGCAGGCGGAAUUCGUGGUGUAGCGGUGAAAUGCUUAGAUAUCACGAAGAACUCCGAUUGCGAAGGCAGCCUGCUGGACUGUAACUGACGCUGAUGCUCGAAAGUGUGGGUAUCAAACAGGAUUAGAUACCCUGGUAGUCCACACAGUAAACGAUGAAUACUCGCUGUUUGCGAUAUACAGUAAGCGGCCAAGCGAAAGCGUUAAGUAUUCCACCUGGGGAGUACGCCGGCAACGGUGAAACUCAAAGGAAUUGACGGGGGCCCGCACAAGCGGAGGAACAUGUGGUUUAAUUCGAUGAUACGCGAGGAACCUUACCCGGGCUUGAAUUGCAACUGAAUGAUGUGGAGACAUGUCAGCCGCAAGGCAGUUGUGAAGGUGCUGCAUGGUUGUCGUCAGCUCGUGCCGUGAGGUGUCGGCUUAAGUGCCAUAACGAGCGCAACCCUUAUCGAUAGUUACCAUCAGGUGAUGCUGGGGACUCUGUCGAGACUGCCGUCGUAAGAUGUGAGGAAGGUGGGGAUGACGUCAAAUCAUCAUGCCCCUUAUGACCUGGGCUACACACGUGCUACAAUGGAUGGUACAACGAGUUGCGAGACCGCGAGGUCAAGCUAAUCUCUUAAAGCCAUUCUCAGUUCGGACUGUAGGCUGCAACUCGCCUACACGAAGUCGGAAUCGCUAGUAAUCGCGGAUCAGCACGCCGCGGUGAAUACGUUCCCGGGCCUUGUACACACCGCCCGUCAAGCCAUGAAAGCCGGGGGUACCUGAAGUGCGUAACCGCAAGGAGCGCCCUAGGGUAAAACUGGUGAUUGGGGCU